CCUGUAGCUCAGUCGGAUAGAGCGUCAGUCUCCGAAGCUGAAGGUCGGGGGUUCGAAUCUCCCCGGG
rnacentral:tRNA from 1 species